rnacentral:rRNA from 1 species
CGAUCUCCCCUGACCCACACACCACUCUUCUGCCAUCCCCAUUCCCUCAGCAUCUCUCUCUCUCGUCGGCGACUCCCCCGGCGAACUGCGGCGGCAGCGCGAGGAACCCGAGAAGACCUCCGGCGUGGGGUGGGUGCGUGGCAUGGUGGGCUCCGGGGGACGCGCGAUGCAUGGGGGUCGAUGUGCGGCGGCCGGGGAGGAGGGCAGCGGCUGCCGAUGGGCGCAGCGCCGCCGUGCGACACCACCGCACCACCCUCCCGGCGUGGUGCGUCGCCCUCACCCCACCCCCCACCCAUCUGAGAUGCAGCCCGCUCAACCCCAGCGACGCGGCCGCACCCCACCCGUGCGAUGGCGACAACCUCGGCGGCGAGGCGGAGUGGGUGGCGGGAGAGGCGGAGUGGCCUUUGCCGGCAGCCAUGAGCAGCGACGACAACCACCUCUAGGCUUCUGCUGCUCUCCCCGACGCGGGGCUACGUCGACGACGUCCGCGGCGACAACGACCAUGUCCACGCAUCUGCCGCUCCCCUGACGUGGUGUUGCGCUCCGACGACGGCCGCGGGGACGAUGACCAUCCCAGCCUUCUGCGCUCUCCGACGUGGUCACGAACGCGAGCUGCCCCACUCCCGCCGGGGAGCUUGGACAUCAGCACCGGUGUGCUAGUCAGAGCUCUGCUCGGUAAUUCCCAUUCUUCCAUUUCUACGUUUCGUUUUGCUCUAGCGAUGCAUACAUCAGAAGUGAAUCGGCUGGGCAGAGGUGAACUAGGUCAUUUUCUUUUGAAUGUGUCAACUGAACCAGUAGAACAACCUUUUUCUGUGUAUUUUGAUUACCACUUUAUUGUCUGAAAAUCAUUUGUUUUGUGUGAUCUGAACAAAACAGAGAUGCAUACUAGUCUUCCAAGACGGAAUGGCAAUUUUUGUCCCUAGAUUUUGUUGUAGUGGUGAUAGGCUAUGAGAUUUGCAGCUGAGAUUUGAGAAGAAAAUAAAUGAUCAGGCUAUGUGCGUUGAAUUUCUGUAAUGGGGAAAGGGACAUUUAGAGUUUGUGGUCAUCUUCGUUGAAUAGCAUCAGAGAUAAUUAAACUGAAAAGGGAUAUACAAUUUUUCUUAAAUUUGUCGUCUCCCUGUAUAAUUUUUCUUAUGGCAAAUAUAGUUAUCGAAACAUGGCAAAUUUAGUUCUCG